rnacentral:rRNA from 1 species
AGUGAACGCUGGCGGCGUGCUCAACACAUGCAAGUCGAACGAAAACGGAAUAUAGCUUGCUAUAUUUGUCAGCUAAGUGGCGCACGGGUGAGUAAUGUAUAGAUAACCUGCCCUUAAGAAAGGAAUAACAGUUGGAAACGACUGCUAAUGCCCUAUAUGCCUUUAAUACAUAAGUAUGCAAGGGAAACGCUUUAGUGCUUAAGGAUGGGUCUGUAUGGUAUCAGCUUGUUGGUGAGGUAAUGGCUCACCAAGGCUAUGACGCCUAACUGGUUUGAGAGGAUGAUCAGUCACACUGGAACUGAGACACGGUCCAGACUCCUACGGGAGGCAGCAGUGGGGAAUAUUGCACAAUGGACGAAAGUCUGAUGCAGCAACGCCGCGUGGAGGAUGACACAUUUCGGUGCGUAAACUCCUUUUAUAUAGGAAGAUAAUGACGGUACUAUAUGAAUAAGCACCGGCUAGCUCCGUGCCAGCAGCCGCGGUAA